GGGGAAAACUGUUAGCUAGGUAGCUAAUUUACCUCAUACCCGUUUGUUAGCUGAGGACGCGGGCGGCGUUGGGCGGUUUUCAGGCUGAGCUCUGAGACGGACAGGAUACAUGCUGCUGUAUUAAGGAAGCUAGACAUCGUCUUUCAACUUUGUGGGCAACCAGGAGAAAAGGCCAGCAGAGUCAACCCUAUGUUUAAGGCUGAGCACUAAGAUGGACAGGAUGUGUGCUGCUGUAUUAAGAAGGAGGGGGUCAGACAGAAUGACAGAUGAAAAGCAAGACAUCUUCAACUUUCAACAUUGCGUCGACCAGGAGAAAAGGCCAACAGAGUCAACUUAAAACUCCUGUGGUCAUUUUUUUAAGGCAUCCCUGUGGAUGGUGUAUCUAAGCCCCUCGGCGGAUGACCCACCUGCAGGAGAGCUGUGCUGGGACACAUGGGACGUGAUUAAGUGUGAAACUGCAGCAGGGCAUGGACCCAGCAGCAGGGCCUCUGUGGCCUUUCCCCCGUCCCCACAGCGAGCCUCGUCGAAGGGCAGGCACUGCUCCCCUGUUCCGGCCACCACCUCCGCGUUCUGCAGCAGCUCCUUCGUCCCCGACAGAACUUUGGGUCUGAAGAUCCGGCGGGAGUUCGUAUCCGACACGUACAGCUGACCGGUCAUCGGGUCAGUGGCCAGGUGCGGAAGCAAAAAGAGAAGAAGAAGGAGGAAAAAGAAGGAAAGAGCAGAAGCACACAAGUGUUAAUCACAGGAAAACAAAGUGCCCCUCCCAGACCCCUACCUGAGCUCCAUGACGCUGGUGACGUUCCCGGAGGGGAAGAUGCGUCUGAUGUAGUUAAAAUCUCCCACGAAGAGACUGCCGUCCGACCCGCAGGCCAGAGC